AUUAAGCAAGUCAAGGUACUUUAGCGUAGUUUGUCGACCGAACGAGGACGGAGUCGUCGAAUUUAUUGUAACAUCCCAACAAAUCAUCAACAUGAGUGGCGUUCAGAUUGUUGACGGCGAUAACAGCGGAGUCAACGUGGUUGACGGCAACGGUGGUGUCCAAUUUGCUGAAAACAGCGGUGGCGGCGUCAACGUUGUUGACGGAGCCGUAAUGUUUGGGGGCGGUGUCAAUAUUGUUGACAACGGGGGCGGUGUCAACGUUGUUGACGGCGCCGUUAUGUUCGGGGGCGGGGUCAAUAUUGUUGACAACGAUGACGGAAGUGGGGUCAACAUUGUCGGUUGAAGGAAUUAGGUUUAGUACAGAAUCUAUUAGGAUAAUUACUUCAUAAUUAUUAUCUACUGAUUAAUUUUAAUACAUAAUAUGUAUAAUUAACGCAAAUAAAUCUCUUAACACACUCUC